rnacentral:rRNA from 1 species
GACGAACGCUGGCGGCGCGCUUAACACAUGCAAGUCGAACGGAAAGGCCUGCUUUCCCUUGUGGAUUGCGGGUACUCGAGUGGCGAACGGGUGAGUAACACGUGAGUGAUCUGCCCCCAACUUGGGUAUAAGCCUGGGAAACUGGGUCUAAUUCCCGAUAGGACUGCAGGGUGGUGCCUGUGGUGGAAAACGAUUUUCUAGUGGUUGGGGAUGAGCUCGCGGCCUAUCAGCUUGUUGGUGGGGUAAUGGCCUACCAAGGCGGCGACGGGCAGCCGGCCUGGGAGGGCGGACGGCCACAUUGGGACUGAGCUACGGCCCAGACUCCUACGGGAGGCAGCAGUGGGGAAUAUUGGAAAAUGGGCGGAAGCCUGAUGCAGCGACGCCGCGUGGGGGAUGACGGCCUUCGGGUUGUAAACUCCUUUCGACCGCGAGGAAGCCACCUGGUUGGAAGGGUGGUGACGGUAGUGGUAGAAGAAGCACCGGCUAGCUACGUG